GGAUCAGUAGGUUGGUCGUGCCACCGGUACGUACUGGUCUCACUGAUUCCUCCUUCCUGAAGAACCGUAAUGCCAUUAAUUUGGUGUUGCGGGGAAACAGGACUGUUACUUUGAAAAAAUUAGAGUGUUUAAAGCAAGCUAACGCUUGAAUACAUUAGUAUGGAAUAAUGAAAUAGGACGAUCGAUCCUAUUUUGUUGGUUUCUAGGAUUGACGUA
rnacentral:rRNA from 1 species